GCGGCUAUAGCUCAGUGGUAGAGCGCCUGCUUGCCAUGCAGGAGGUCGAGGGUUCGAGCCCCUCUAGCCGCU
rnacentral:tRNA from 5 species